UACGUAGGGUGCAAGCGUUAAUCGGAAUUACUGGGCGUAAAGCGUGCGCAGGCGGUUGUGCAAGACAGAUGUGAAAUCCCCGGGCUUAACCUGGGAACUGCAUUUGUGACUGCACGGCUAGAGUACGGCAGAGGGGGAUGGAAUUCCGCGUGUAGCAGUGAAAUGCGUAGAUAUGCGGAGGAACAUCAAUGGCGAAGGCAGUCCCCUGGGCCUGUACUGACGCUCAUGCACGAAAGCGUGGGGAGCAAACAGG
rnacentral:rRNA from 1 species